CCUACGGGAGGCAGCAGUGGGGAAUAUUGCACAAUGGGCGAAAGCCUGAUGCAGCAACGCCGCGUGAAGGAAGAAGGCCUUCGGGUCGUAAACUUCUGUCCUUGGGGAAGAAGAACGGUCGGUACCCCUGUAGGAAGCCUCGGCUAACCAAGUGACAACAGCCCCGCUAAUUCGUAGGGGGCAAGCGUGUUGCUGAGUUAUUGGGCGUAAAGAGUACGAAGGUGGCCACCUAAGCGCAGGGUUAAAGGCAAUGACACAACCAUUAGGCGCCCUGCGGACUGGGAAGCUUGAGUGCAGAAGAGGAAAGCGGAAUUCCUAGUGUAGCGGUGAAAUGCGUAGAUAUUAGGAGGAACACCAGUGGCGAAGGCGACUUUCUGGACUGUAACUGACGCUGAGGUGCGAAAGCGUGGGGAGCAAACAGGAUUAGAUACCCUUGUAGUC
rnacentral:rRNA from 1 species